CCCUUAGAUGUUCUGGGCCGCACGCGCGUUACACUGACGCAUUCAACGAGUCUCCUUGGCCGAGAGGCCUGGGUAAUCUUGUGAACGUGCGUCGUGAUAGGGAUAGAUUAUUGCAAUUAUUAAUCUUGAACGAGGAAUUCCUAGUAAACGCAGAUCAUCAAUCUGCAUUGAUUACGUCCCUGCCCUUUGUACACACCGCCCGUCGCACCUACCGAUUGGAUGGUCCGGUGAGGCCUCGGGAUUGUGGCCGGUGCAUUCAUUUGUGUCGGUUGCGAGAACUUGUCCAAACCUUAUCAUCUAGAGGAAGGUGAAGUCGUANCA
rnacentral:rRNA from 1 species